rnacentral:rRNA from 1 species
CCUGAACGCUGGCGGCGUGGCUAAGACAUGCAAGUCGUACGGUGUAGCAAUACACAGUGGCGAACGGGUGAGUAAUGAAUCGCUAACGUGCCCCGGACUCUGGGAUAGCUAUCCGAAAGGGUAGGUAAUACCAGAUGAGACCACGAACAGGCAUCUGUUUGUGCUCAAAGGUCCGCCGGUCUGGGAGCGGGCGAUUUCGUAUCAGCUAGUUGGUGAGGUAACGGCUCACCAAGGCGACGACGCGUAGCCGGACUGAGAGGUUGGCCGGCCACAUUGGGACUGAGACACUGCCCAGACUCCUACGGGGGCUGCAGUAACGAAUCUUCCGCAAUGCACGAAAGUGUGACGGAGCGACGCCGCGUGUGGGACGAAGCCCUUCGGGUGUAACCACUGUCGAGGGGUUAGAAAGUUCUGAUCAACCCCAGAGGAAGGCACGGCUAACUCUGUGCCAGCCGCCGCGGUAA